AGUCCUGGAAGUACAGACCCUCUACUUUGCAUACACUCCAGACAAUGCAGGAAAGCGGGAUGAACUCUGAUGAAAUCUCCUUUACAAUUUAAUCAAAUGAAGAAGGAGAGGUGCUGGUGUGACAUCUCACACCAACAAAGAGAAUGCCCAAGGUGGGUCCCACGAUAAGGAGAAAGGGACGGCACCAAAGGAGAGAUGCC
rnacentral:lncRNA from 1 species